UUUGGUAUUUUUGAAAUUAAAGUAAAUGCACAAAAUAAAAUGAACAAAAUGAGGUCAAACUUCAAAUUCAAUUCAAAUCAACUUGGAUAAGUCCAAAUGAAUUAUCAUAAGCCUAACAUGGUCAAACAAGGUUUGACAAAUUUUCUCAACAUUUAUCGAAAACAGAAACUAUUUUAAAACAAUUAAAAGUCAAGAAAAAUAACACAAAUGAACUAAAAUCUCAAAUAAAUCUCAAAUCAAUUAAGAAAUUGAUGAGAAUAUUUUUCAUAGACUUAUCAUGAUCCAUAUGUGUUAAGAAAAUAUUUUUCGAAUUUUUCGAUAUCAGAAAGUAAUUAAAAUGAAUUUAAAACUAUUAAAUACAAAACAAUUCACAAAAAAAAUUAAAUGGAAUCACAAAAAUAAUUAAAAAUCAGAUUAUGAAACUAGAUUUUUCAAGAAAAUUUUUAGUGUUGGUCUCAUAUUUUUGCGAUUCAAAAUAAAAUACUUAUGAAUUUUUGAAAUAAAAUGGAAUAAAAGAAAAUAAAACAGAAAUUAGAAAAAAGAGAAAAAUCAGGAAGCGUUUGAUCCAUUUCAUUAAAUGACGUGGACAUAAUCAAAGGCUUAGAGACGCGCUUCCAUGGUAGGCAUUAGUCAAGCACGUUGCAAAGUGUAUUAAAAUAAGUCAACUAAACAAAUGGCCAGGAUUAUAACGUGCACAUGAGAUCCAAUGGACACAAGGCAUCCACGUGGGGACGGUGGUCGAAACCACCGUCUUCUCCGGUGGACCAACUGAUUCCGGCCACCAGUUGCAGGUUUUCAAACCUCAACCAAAACGCACGAGCCUUAUACACAAAUGAAGCUGGGGUGAUGUACAUCACCCCUGUAACCUUGUGUUUCUCUCAAGAUCUCUAUUGAAUGAGAAAUCUGAGCUGAAUUUCGAGGUGUUCAAAUUGUAAAGCUUCAAAACACAAAAUCAAAGCCACCGUUGGCUUGCCUCUCACACGAGGACUUCAAAAAACCAAUUGAACACAAGAAAUUCACAUUAUAUGAUGAGAUUCAGAUCAAAAUAGUUGAGCAAUAAACCUUUGAGGAACAACUUUGAUCAACACGAUUCGUUCCAACUUUUGCUUGCAAUUUGAUCUUACGAUGUGAUAUGUGUGCAAGGCUAAGGAAUAAGUCUUGAAGAUCAACUGAUUUUGUACUUUAAGUUCGAACUUAACUCUUUUUAUUUUAAUCUUAAGGUUUGGUAAUGGGUGGGUUUCCAAUUCUGCAGAGCUUCAGCUAGCCUUAAGGUUGAGAUUUGAAUGAGGCAAGGCAUGUAUUUAUAAUUGGAGCUGCAAGCAAAGUGGUGAAGAACUCGUAUGCAUGAUCAUUGGGUCCUCCAUGCAUAGGCCUGUGCACGCGCAUGUGAGGCCUUAAAUCAAUCGGAAAUGCAAGCUGAGCGGAUACCAAGUUGAAUUGGAUGUGUAAUUUGCUUGUGUUUGCUUGUGCAUGAUGAUUCCAAGUGAAUUUCAUAUUUGGUCACAAAUGUUCCCCUCUUCGAAAGUCCCAUAUAGAAAAUCCAAAAAUAGGCAUGUGAGUAAUGGUUGGGAAGGUCUUGACAUAAGGAACAAAAGCUAUGUUGGACGAAAAUCCAUUUGGAGUUUGGAAAAUUAGGAAUUUUGAUCAUGAAGUUUGAGGUACAAAUCAUGCCUUUGAAAAAUUUGCCAAAAAUAGCCAAGUUCAAGCCCUUUUGUUCCAAUGAUGCAAGCCUCAAUGGAUAUACCUCCAACAUCGAAGUUGUAUAUCUUUUCAAGAUGAUAAAUUUAGACUCACAUUUUGCAUCAUUUGGAUUUUUGAUGAGAAAGUUAUGGGCACUUGAAGUUAGACUUUUUCAACAUUCAAUGGUUUUGGUCCAAAGUGACCUAUAAUGUUAUGUAUUAUCACAUGUGUUUCUUUUAAGAUUAUGAAAUUUUGUCCAACAUAACAUUUGAAGUAUACAUCUCAAGCUUUUCAAUGCAAUUGGUCUCGCCUCUAAAUCAUUAAAAAAAGGAAGUUAGGUCCUUGGGAAGUUGACCCAAAAUUAGGGUUUCAGUAAAAAUGACCUAAAAUGUUUUGAAAUGAAUGAUGACCUUCCAAGUUUCAAAUGAGUUUUUGAUGAACAUUAAAGUUGUUCAUAUGGUUCUUAAGAACAUGUGUGCUCUUGGGGUCAUAUUCAUUUGACAAACACAUCAAAAGGUAGGUCUCAGUGGAUUUCAGAUUAGUCAGAUGACUUGACUGGUCAACUUCUCAAGUCCAAACCUCAAAUCUUGAUGAAGGAAUGAUUGAGGAUACUCACAUAAGCUCAUAUAUGCAUAAAGUAGUGAAUGAAAGAAGUUCACUUUAUUAAAUUUGAUCAUAGGUUGAGGUUGCUUCAUGAACAAGGCGCAGUCAAUGCACAGUUGAAUUAGGGUUUCCUUGGGAAACAAUCCUCAAGCCCUUUGGGUUAUCUUGAUCAAAUUGGAAAAUUGAGACACAUGGGAGGCAUAUAUGAUGAUUAGAAUCUUUGAAAACAAUAUUAAUGUUUGCACAAAUAGAGUUUGGCUUGGGUUAGAAUGAGGAGAAGAAGAGAAGGGCUUGUCCUAAACAUGCAAAGAUAAGAGAAGAGAUAAAACCAUUGGAGUUCCUUUUCUUGAGAUCAUAAAGAUGAUUCAAGAUGCUCCUUUUGCUUACUUUAGCAAAUAACUCAAGCAAUCAAACAAAUAUUCAUUCAAGCUCCUAGAAUCUCCAUUUCGGUUUGUCUCUCUUAACUUGGUUAUUCAUGACAAUGGUUCUCCUUACUAUCUCAAGCUUGGAAAGUAAAAAGCAAUAUGAAUAAAUGAGGAAGAAAUUAAAUUGCAUUAAAGUAAAUUGUAAGAAUUAAAUGCUUGAUUUAAAGUUAGUAGUUAAUGGUUAGUGUUAGUGUGUCAUAAGACAAUUUAGCACUAUGUUAAGCAAUCAUAAGUGGACUAAUGUAGUAGCCACACCUAUCUGCGGCCGGCCAAUAAAACUAUAGGAAAAUAAACACAAGUUAGAGACCAUGACUAGUAAGCCAAGCUCCUAUAACUUGCCCUGCCAAAAGAAAAGAGGAAAGGCCUUGUAUGGACUUUAGGUUUUUUGCUUGACCAAGAAGCAACCUAUCUUGGACACAAAGCAAUUCACUUGAUCUUUGACCAAGUUGAAUUUGAUUUGGAUCAAAGAAGGUUAAGCCUCUCACAUGUCAAGACUAACCACAAAUCAUUAACUCAUUGGCCAAAAAUAAAAAAGAAGAAGAAGAUGAAGAUGAAAUGAAAUGGAUAAAGGAGAAUUCAAAUGACAUAAUCAAAACACAAUGAUCAAAUGUCAAUCAAAAUCAACAUUAACCAAUGGUAAACAGAAGUGAAAUGAAGAUUAGAAGUCAACAAGGUCAAACAUAUUUUUUUGGUAUUUUUGAAAUUAAAGUAAAUGCACAAAAUAAAAUGAACAAAAUGAGGUCAAACUUCAAAUUCAAUUCAAAUCAACUUGGAUAAUUCCAAAUGAAUUAUCAUAAGCCUAACAUGGUCAAACAAGGUUUAACAAAUUUUCUCAACAUUUUUCAAAAACAGAAACUAUUUUAAAACAAUUAAAAGUCAAGACAAAUAACACAAAUGAACUAAAAUCUCAAAUAAAUCUCAAAUCAAUUAAGAAAUUGAGGAGAAUAUUUUUCACAAACUUAUCAUGAUCCAUAUGUGUUAAGAAAAUAUUUUUGGAAUUUUUGGAUAUCAGAAAGUAAUUAAAAUGAAUUUAAAACUAUUAAAAACAAAAUAAUUCACAAAAAAUAUUAAAUGGAAUCACAAAAAUAAUUAAAAAUCAGAUUCUAAAACUAGGUUUUUCAAGAAUUUUUUUACUGUUGGUCUCAUAUUUUUGCGAUUCCAAAUAAAAUACUUAUGAAUUUUUGAAAUAAAAUGGAAUAAAAGAAAAUAAAACAGAAAUUAGAAAAAAGAGAAAAAUCAGGAAGCGUUUGAUCCAUUUCAUUAAAUGACGUGGACAUAAUCAAAGGCUCAGAGACGUGCUUCCAUGGUAGGCAUUAGUCAAGCACGUUGCAAAGUGUAUUAAAAUAAGUCAACUAAACAAAUGGCCAGGAUUAUAACGUGCACAUGAGAUCCAAUGGACACAAGGCAUCCACGUGGGGACGGUGGUGGAAACCACCGUCUUCUCCGGUGGACCAACUGAUUCCGGCCACCAGUUGCAGGUUUUCAAACCUCAACCAAAACGCACGAGCCUUAUACCCAAAUGAAGCUGGGGUGAUGUACAUCACCCCUGUAACCUUGGAUUUCUCUCAAGAUCUCUAUUGAAUGAGAAAUCUGAGCUUGAAUUUCGAGGUGUUCAAACUGUAAAGCUUCAAAACACAAAAUCAAAGCCACCGUUGGCUUGCCUCUCACACGAGGACUUCAAAAAACCAAUUGAACACAAGAAAUUCACAUUAUAUGAUGAGAUUCAGAUCAAAAUAGUUGAGCAAUAAACCUUUGAGGAACAACUUUGAUCAACACGAUUCCUUCCAACUUUUGCUUGCAAUUUGAUCUUACGAUGUGAUAUGUGUGCAAGGCUAAGGAAUAAGUCUUGAAGAUCAACUGAUUUUGUUGAAAUUCAAGCUUGAAUUGAGAAAAAUAAAAUUAGAAUUCCUUUGGUAAUGGGUGGGUUUCCAAUUCUGCAGAGCUUCAGCUAGCCUUAAGGUUGAGAUUUGAAUGAGGCAAGGCAUGUAUUUAUAGCUGGAGCUGCAAGCAAAGUGGUGAAGAACUCGUGUGCAUGAUCAUUGGGUCCUCCAUGCAUGGGCCUGUACACGCGCAUGUGAGGCCUUAAAUCAAUCGGAAAUGCAAGCUGAGCUGAUACCAAGUUGAAUUGGAUGUGUAAUUUGCCUUGUGUUUGCUUGUGCAUGAUGAUUCCAAGUGAAUUUCAUAUUUGGUCACAAAUGAUCCCCUCUUCGAAAGUCCCAUAUAGAAAAUCCAAAAAUAGGCAUGUGAGUAAUGGUUGGGAAGGUCUUGACAUAAGGAACAAAAUCUAUGUUGGACUAAAAUCCAUUUGGAGUUUGGAAAAUUGGGAAUUUUGAUCAUGAAGUUUGAGGUACAAAUCAUGCCUUUGAAAAAUUUGCCAAAAAUGGCCAACUUCAAGCCCUUCUGUUCAAAUGAUGCAAGCCUCAAAUGGAAAUACCUCCAACAUCGAAGUUGUAUAUCUUUUCAAGAUGAUAAAUUUAGACUCACAUUUUGCAUCAUUUGGAUAUUUGAUGAGAAAGUUAUGGGCACUUGAAGUUAGACUUUUUCAACAUUCAAUGGUUUUGGUCCAAAGUGACCUAUAAUGUUAUGUAUUAUCACAUGUGUUUCUUUUAGGAUUAUGAAAUUUUGUCCAACAUAACAUUUGAAGUAUACACCUCAAGCUUUUCAAUGCAAUUGGUCUCGCCUCUAAAUCAUUAAAAAAAGGAAGUUAGGUCCUUGGGAAGUUGACCCAAAAUUAGGGUUUCAGUCAAAAUGACCUAAAAUGUUUUGAAAUGAAUGAUGACCUUCCAAGUUUCAAAUGAAUUUUUUAUUAACAUUAAAGUUGUUCAUAUGGUUCUUAAGAACAUGUGUGCUCUUGGGGUCAUAUUCAUUUGACAAACACAUCAAAAGGUAGGUCUCAGUGGAUUUCAGAUUAGUCAGAUGACUUGACUGGUCAACUUCUCAAGUCUAAACCUCAAAUCUUGAUGAAUGAAUGAUUGAGGAUACUCACAUAAGCUCAUAUAUGCAUAAAGUAGUGAAUGAAAGAACUUAACUUGAUUAAAUUUGAUCAUAGGUUGAGGUUGCUUCAUGAACAAGGCGCAGUCAAUGCACAGUUGAAUUAGGGUUUCCUUUCGAAACAAUCCUCAAGCCCUUUGGGUUAUCUUGAUCAAAUUGGAAAAUUGAGACACUUGGGAGGCAUAUAUGAUGAUUAGAAUCUUUGAAAACAAUAUUAUGUUUGCACAAAUAGAGUUUGGCUUGGGUUAGAGUGAGGAGAAGAAGAGAAGGGCUUGUCCUAAACAUGCAAAGAUAAGAGAAGAGAUAAAACCAUUGGAGUUCCUUUUCUUGAGAUCAUAAAGAUGAUUCAAGAUGCUCCUUUCCUUACUUUAGCAAAUAACUCAAGCAAUCAAACAAAUAUUCAUUCAAGCUCCUAGAAUCUCCAUUUCGGUUUGUCUCUCUUAACUUGGUUAUUCAUGACAAUGGUUCUCCUUACUAUCUCAAGCUGGAAAUACCUAUCACUCAAGAACAAACAAUAAAAGUUCACAAUGCAAUAAGAGGAAUGGACAAGAAUGAGUUUAGAUUAGGGGUCCUUUGAAGUCAACUUUAAGAUUUAGCAUUCUAAAGGCAUUGAGGCUAGUUGCUCUUCAAACAAGUUUAGCAUUCUAAAGGCAUGAGGACCUAGUUGCUCUUGAACUCCGUUAAGCAUAGGUAAGGUCCUAAUUCUAAGUCUUUCUCCUUUUUGCAUUGGGUUCUCACCAACAAAGACAAAACAAACACAAAGCAACAAUAUAUUUAUUUACAAUAAUAAGCUCAAGUGAGCAAAAGGCAAAUAGCAUAAACAUAAAAUAUGAGCUCAAGUGAGCAAAGUAAAAGCAUAUGAAUAAAUGAGGAAGAAAUUAAAUUGCAUUAAAGUAAAUUGUAAGAAUUAAAAUGCUUGAUUUAAAGUUAGUAGUUAAUGGUUAGUGUUAGUGUGUCAUAAGACAAUUUAGCGCUAUGUUAAGCAAUCAUAAGUGGACUAUGUAGUAGCCACACCUAUCUGAGGCCGCCCAAUAACUAAAGGAAAAUAAACACAAAGUUAGAGACCAUGACUAGUAAGCCAAGCUCCUACAACUUGCCCUGCCAAAAGAAAAGAGGAAAGGCCUUGUAUGGACUUUAUGUUUUUUCUUCACCAAGAAGCAACCUAUCUUGGACACAAAGCAAUUCACUUGAUCUUUGACCAAGUUGAAUUUGAUUUGGAUCAAAGAAGGUUAAGCCUCUCAUGUCAAGACUAACCACAAAUCAUUACUCAUUGGCCAAAUAAAAAAGAAGAUGAAGAUGAGAAUGAAAUGAAUGGAUAAAGGAGAAUUCAAAUGACAUAAUCAAACACAAUGAUCAAAUGUCAAUUCAAAAUCAAACAUUAACAAUGGUAAACAGAAGUGAAAUGAAGAUUAGAAGUCAACAGGUCAAACAUAUUUUUUUUGUAUUUUUUGAAAUUAAAGUAAAUGCACAAAUAAAAUGAACAAAAUGAGGUCAAACUUCAAUUCAAUUCAAAUCAACUUGGAUAAGUCCAAAUGAAUUAUCAUUAAGCCUAACAUGGUCAAACAAGGUUUGACAAAUUUUCUCAACAUUUUUCGAAAACAGAAACUAUUUUAAAACCAUUAAAAGUCAAGACAAAUAACACAAA
rnacentral:lncRNA from 1 species